UGACGACCAUCGAUUGCAGCGCACGGACGCUGGGCCAAACGUCGGCGCGGCUGCUGCUGCAACGCCUCAAGGCGCCCGAGUCCUGGCAGCCGCAAACCAUCACGCUUCCACAUACCCUGGUCUGCCGCGCGUCGACCUAGUGCAAUUGCAGAUUGCAGAUUGCAGAUUGUAUCUAGG
rnacentral:misc_RNA from 1 species